UCAUAAAGUAUACAGGAACUUGUACGAAACUGAGAUUGGGUAAAACUUUCAAACUAAUUGCGGAUUACUUCUAGCCACAAACCACUCAUUGAUCAGGACAUCGAUUCACUUUUAAUGAGGCCAGAAGAGGAGGAGGAAGGAAGAGGAGGGAGUGGACGUCUGAACCAACAGGAGCCAAAUAAAGACCUGAGCCCUAGGACCAUGCCUCAGGACUACCUGACAUGAUGACUCCUUGCUGUCCCCAGUCCACCUGGCCGUGCUGCUGUUCCAGUUUCAACUGUUCUGCCUGUGGCUAUGGAACCUUGACCUGUUCACCGGAGGUGCUACCUGUCCCAG
rnacentral:lncRNA from 1 species